rnacentral:rRNA from 1 species
GAUGAACGCUGGCGGCGUGCCUAAUACAUGCAAGUCGAGCGAACAGAUGAGGAGCUUGCUCCUCUGACGUUAGCGGCGGACGGGUGAGUAACACGUGGAUAACCUACCUAUAAGACUGGGAUAACUUCGGGAAACCGGAGCUAAUACCGGAUAAUAUAUUGAACCGCAUGGUUCAAUAGUGAAAGACGGUUUUGCUGUCACUUAUAGAUGGAUCCGCGCCGCAUUAGCUAGUUGGUAAGGUAACGGCUUACCAAGGCAACGAUGCGUAGCCGACCUGAGAGGGUGAUCGGCCACACUGGAACUGAGACACGGUCCAGACUCCUACGGGAGGCAGCAGUAGGGAAUCUUCCGCAAUGGGCGAAAGCCUGACGGAGCAACGCCGCGUGAGUGAUGAAGGUCUUCGGAUCGUAAAACUCUGUUAUUGGGGAAGAACAAAUGUGUAAGUAACUAUGCACGUCUUGACGGUACCUAAGCAGAAAGCCACGGCUAACUACGUG